AAUGAACGUUGGCGGCGUGGAUUAGGCAUGCAAGUCGAGCGAGAACCCGCAAGGGGGACAGCGGCAAACGGGGUAGGAAUGAUUGGUGACGUACCCUCGGGACGGGGAUAGCCACGGGAAACUGUGGGUAAUACCCGAUAAUCUCCCAGGUUUGAAGACCUGGGUGCAAAGGUGUGAUUCCACCGGAGGAGCGGCCAAUCUGGUAUUAGCUAGUUGGUAGGGUAACGGCCUACCAAGGCUACGAUGCCUAGGGGGUGUGAGAGCAUGGCCCCCACCACUGGGACCGAGAUACUGCCCAGACACCUACGGGUGGCUGCAGUCGAGAAUCUUCGGCAAUGGGCGAAGGCCUGACCGAGCGACGCCGCGUGCGGGAUGAAGGCCUUCGGGUUGUAAACCGCUGUCAGAGGGGAUGAAGUUAUAGGAGGUUCUCCUUCUAUAUUGACAGAGCCUCAGAGGAAGCACGGGCUAAGUAUGUGCCAGCCGCCGCUGUAA
rnacentral:rRNA from 1 species